AUUGAACGCUGGCGGCAUGCCUUACACAUGCAAGUCGAACGGCAGCACGGGGCAACCUGGUGGCGAGUGGCGAACGGGUGAGUAAUGCAUCGGAACGUACCUUUCAGUGGGGGAUAACGUAGCGAAAGUUACGCUAAUACCGCAUAUUCUGUGAGCAGGAAAGCAGGGGAUCGCAAGACCUUGCGCUGAUUGAGCGGCCGAUGUCAGAUUAGCUAGUUGGUGAGGUAAAGGCCCACCAAGGCGACGAUCUGUAGCGGGUCUGAGAGGAUGGUCGGCCACACUGGAACUGGGGCACGGGCCAGACUCCUACGGGAGGCAGCAGUGGGGAAUGUUGGACAAGGGGGGCAACCCUGAUCCAGCCAUGCCGCGUGAGUGAAGAAGGCCUUCGGGUUGUAAAGCUCUGUCGGCCGGGAAGAAAUCGCACGGGCUAAUACCCUGUGUGGAUGACGGUACCGGAAUAAGAAGCACCGGCUAACUACGUGCCAGCCGCCGCAGUAAAAC
rnacentral:rRNA from 1 species